rnacentral:lncRNA from 12 species
CACAGCCAGAUCCCGACUGGAAUGCCCAUCCAGUGUGUCCCUCAGACCUACUGCUGCACGUUUGAACCCAAAGAAUGAUAUUGGUAAUGAAAAAUGUGCCCAGUAGCUCCCAGUCUCCAACUAGCCUACCAGAAUACACACUAGUCUUCAAGAUCAGCCUGCCCUAGGGGACGUGAUUAACAUAAUUCUCAGAGUAACAGAUCAGAGACCUGCCAGAGAUGAUGUGCCAGUGGUCACUAACACAACCUCAGAGACUCCUGGUCACCAUCAUCCCCUGCUGCCUCCUUCACGUGCUUCUCCUGAUGGAAGGUUGGCAUCGUAUCUCUACCACCCAUGCAUCCUCCAUGGCCUCCCUGCACCGCUCUGCACACAGUGGCCAUGUGAUCAAUUUUUACAGACUUGGAACAGAAAUGGAUUUCACCUGAUAGUCAAUAGAAUGGCUCCUGGGAUGCUGGUAGGCAAGGGAGGGCAAGGUCUGCGGAGCAGAGGGUGGCCUGGCUGGGAAUCACCCACCCACAGGAGUGGCCGGGCCCUGAGGCUCUGAUCAUGGCCCUGUGCCAUUAUGAAUUUUAUUUAUUUAUUUAUUUAUUUAUUUAUUUAUUUAUUAAGAUUUUAUUUAUUUACAUGAGAGAGAGAGUGUGUGUGCGAGAGAGCAGGAGCAGGGGGAGGAGCAGAUGAGGAGGGAGAAGCAGGCUCCCUGAUGAGCGUGGAGCCCAACACAGGGCUCAGCCCCACAACUCGACCCCAGGAUGUCCAAGAUCAUGACCUGAACCAAAGUCAGAUGCUUGACCAACUGAGUCAGUCAGGUGCCCCCUGUUAAGAAUUUUAAG